rnacentral:lncRNA from 1 species
AUGAGCCUCAGGCGAGGAGACCUGGAUUCCAGACUCCAUUGUGCCCCUCCCUGCCUUGCGACCCAGGACAGCGACCUAGAUAUCCCUAAACCAGCCUUCCAGCCGGUAAACCGAGAACAGCCCUCGCCACCCAGGGCCCCAGGGGGGGGGGGGGGGGGGGGGGGGGGGGGGGGGGGGGGGGGGGGGGGGGGGGGGGGGGGGGGGGGGGGGGGGGGGGGGGGGGGGGGGGGGGGGGGGGGGGGGGGGGGGGGGGGGGGGGGGGGGGGGGGGGGGGGGGGGGGGGGGGGGGGGGGGGGGGGGGGGGGGGGGGGGGGGGGGGGGGGGGGGGGGGGGGGGGGGGGGGGGGGGGGGGGGGGGGGGGGGGGGGGGGGGGGGGGGGGGGGGGGGGGGGGGGGGGGGGGGGGGGGGGGGGGGGGGGGGGGGGGGGGGGGGGGGGGGGGGGGGGGGGGGGGGGGGGGGGGGGGGGGGGGGGGGGGGGGGGGGGGGGGGGGGGGGGGGGGGGGGGGGGGGGGGGGGGGGGGGGGGGGGGGGGGGGGGGGGGGGGGGGGGGGGGGGGGGGGGGGGGGGGGGGGGGGGGGGGGGGGGGGGGGGGGGGGGGGGGGGGGGGGGGGGGGGGGGGGGGGGGGGGGGGGGGGGGGGGGGGGGGGGGGGGGGGGGGGGGGGGGGGGGGGGGGGGGGGGGGGGGGGGGGGGGGGGGGGGGGGGGGGGGGGGGGGGGGGGGGGGGGGGGGGGGGGGGGGGGGGGGGGGGGGGGGGGGGGGGGGGGGGGGGGGGGGGGGGGGGGGGGGGGGGGGGGGGGGGGGGGGGGGGGGGGGGGGGGGGGGGGGGGGGGGGGGGGGGGGGGGGGGGGGGGGGGGGGGGGGGGGGGGGGGGGGGGGGGGGGGGGGGGGGGGGGGGGGGGGGGGGGGGGGGGGGGGGGGGGGGGGGGGGGGGGGGGGGGGGGGGGGGGGGGGGGGGGGGGGGGGGGGGGGGGGGGGGGGGGGGGGGGGGGGGGGGGGGGGGGGGGGGGGGGGGGGGGGGGGGGGGGGGGGGGGGGGGGGGGGGGGGGGGGGGGGGGGGGGGGGGGGGGGGGGGGGGGGGGGGGGGGGGGGGGGGGGGGGGGGGGGGGGGGGGGGGGGGGGGGGGGGGGGGGGGGGGGGGGGGGGGGGGGGGGGGGGGGGGGGGGGGGGGGGGGGGGGGGGGGGGGGGGGGGGGGGGGGGGGGGGGGGGGGGGGGGGGGGGGGGGGGGGGGGGGGGGGGGGGGGGGGGGGGGGGGGGGGGGGGGGGGGGGGGGGGGGGGGGGGGGGGGGGGGGGGGGGGGGGGGGGGGGGGGGGGGGGGGGGGGGGGGGGGGGGGGGGGGGGGGGGGGGGGGGGGGGGGGGGGGGGGGGGGGGGGGGGGUUGGGGGUGGAGCGGCUCCCGCGGCCCGGACUCCCCCCACGCCCGACCACGCGAGUGACAGUGAGGCGCGGGAGCCGGGGGAAGGAAAUCUCUGGGUCCCCGACGACCCCCGCUAG